GCCUGAGUGGCUCGGUAGGUUGAGUGUCUGACUUCAGCUCAGGUCAUGAUCUCACGGUUCGUGAGUUCAAGCCCCGCGUCGGGCU
rnacentral:tRNA from 1 species